ACAGAAGAAAGAACUCUGCACAGAAAAUACAUUCAAUAUUCUAAGUUAAGAAGAAAAAGUUUGAGGAAAAAUAUAAAGGCCUUAAACCCCUUAUUACUUCAGUUCAACAAGGAAUCAAGAGUAAAGUUCUUCAAAGAAUUAAUUGAAGACACCCUGGGAAGAGGGGACUGAGGACUUAAUUCUGAUUCUGAUGGGAAUUUGAUCCAUGAAAGGAUUGCAGAACUGAAUCCCAACAGACAGAUUCUGUUGAUCAUGAUAAUGUUUUGCUUCCAGCAGAAAGACUGAGGGAUUGGAGACAAAGGCGCUAGAAUGCUGGAGAAGCACUUUUGCAGAAAUGCUGGUGAGAAGCACCAAAUGCUACCCUCCCGUCUCCCCAGCUGCUUUCAUUUCUCUGGAGCUGAAACAAAGGUUCAAGCGAUUCUCCUGCCUCAGCCUCCUGAGUAGCUGGGACUACAGGCACCUGCCACCACGCAGAGCUAGAGCUUUGCUACUGCUUUUCGGGGCCAGCCUUUCUGAACCAGAAAAAAAGGUAUAUGGGUACCAACACGAGGUCUAACUAGGAGUCAGGAAAGAUAGGAAAGAUGUCUAUGUGGCAAAUGAGCAUUCUAUUGUUUGAAAACAUCUUCAGUGCCAUAAUGAGAACUCAGGACAAACCUGGAUCAAACAGCAGCAGGAUAUGAUAAGAACUUCUGCAGGGACGGACACAUUUAUACAGUAUUCAUUAGUAAAAAAAAAAUCAGUCAUCAGUGAAGAGAAAUAAA
ensembl:lncRNA novel transcript